UGUCUGUCCACCUCGUCCAGCUCUGCCUGUUUUUUCAGAACCAGGGUCUUUUGUAAAGUGUUCACUCCUGCCUCAAGGACUCUGCCAGAGGCCUACGCAAGACAUAACCAGGGUUAUAGAAGAGGCCAGACUCUAUCUGCAAACAUUUUUUUUCUGCAGUAAAAUGAAGGAUUCAUAACAAUUUGAAUGAGCUACAUGCUGGCAUUGAUUCUUACCUCUGUUACAACAGCUUUUUAUUCCAGAAAUGCAGAGCAGGUCCUGUGCAGUUAAUCCACGUUCGGACGAUCACAAGGGCAACGAGGGUCUUUCCGGAUGUUUUCCUGGAUUUGUGUGGCUGUUGCCUGGGAACCACAG